UUCUUAAAAUAUGAAUACAUAUGGGUCGUUAAGGCCUCUGACAUACUAUACAAACUGAACCUCUAUCUACAAAGCCUCUAGGAUUAUUUGACAUCAAAUGGGAUAGGGUACCGGCCUACCCACAAGUCUGUAGAAAAACUCUGACAUGAUGACUCAUAGACUCGGUUGUAAUCUGAAUGUGGUGCAGUCUUACCGAUCCUUCGCUGAAUGCAAACCUUGUUUACUGUGAGGGAUCAUCAAGAUGUUUAUCUAUACCUGCAGGCAUGAAUGUAGUGUCCCAAACAAAAGAACGUCAGUAUGAAUAAUGUACUAACUAUGUAAAACAUGUAAAUAAGUAUAUAAAGGACAUGGAAGAAACAUGGAGUAAAGGACUCAACCUGUAAGUCUGGAUAGCUCUGUAAAUCGUGAAAUAUUUAUAAUGUCAUGCAUAUGCGUGUAAAUGUCAUGUAAUGCAUAGGUCUGUACGUACAUAAUAUCAUCAAGCCUCUGAGGGCAUCCCAUCAUAUUAUCUCAGCCACUGUGGCAGAAUCAUCAACGUAUACCAACUGAUCAGGUGGUAGUGAGUAUAUAACGCCAUAACCUUUUCCCAUAUCUCGUAUACAUAUAUAUACAUAUAUACACGUAUAUAAUGUCGUUUGAGUCAUAUUUCAGCCAUUGUGGGCAAUAUCAUCAUCGUAUACCAGCUAAUUAGGUGGUGAUGCGUAUAUAACGCCACAACCUUUCCCAUAUCCCAUAUACAUAUAUAUACAUAUAUUACGCGUAUAUAAUAUCAUCUGGUCAUGGGUCAACAUACAUGUAUAAACGCAUGGAAUGUAUAUGAAAUACGUUAAUAAAAUCUCUUUGUACGUCAUAAAACUAUUAUGUCUCUGAUUAAUAUCAUAAAAUAAAUUUUACCAACUUACGUAUUUUUGAGACCCAUGAACAGAUAAUAGAAUAAGAAUUCACAUGGGGAAUCAAAAAUAUAGACACCCCUAGUAUUUCUAUGAAUAGAGUCAUUUAUGAAAGUUGCGUAUUUUGCUCGUUUCAUUUGUAUUAUUUGGAUCAUACCAAAAAGAAAGAAGGGAUAGCCUUAACAUACCUUGUAUAUACUGCCCAACCACCUCAAGAUGUGCAAGGGUAAUUGUUGCUUUGUCAAUAAUAAGAGAAACGAUACUAUCGUCAUCGUUUAAGCAUCGUAACUAUUAUAUGUCGACCACAACCUAUUUUAUAAUAAAAUGGGCUGCAUCUCCCCUAUAUAUAUGACUUCCCACCAUUUACAACAACAACCAAACAGCUCAAAUAAUAUCAACAACAAUCUUAUUAAUCCUCCCAAACAGUUUAACAAUUGUUACGAGCGGUAAGUUUGGUUACGAUUAACAAACUAUAAUUUAAAUCCCUUUAUUUUCCUAUGAGUAUGUGUACAGCUACAAAAAUAUUAUACUUAUGUUAUUACACCAACAACAAUAAUACAAUGCCAAUAACCAAUCACCACCCAAUCAGCCCCUUCAAAAAUGCAAGAGCAUCUCCCACAAUCUAAUAAAACUAUAUCCAAUACUAGUCCACCAUUUUUAGUUACUGCUCCAUAUGGUUUCAUGGUGCUAAUAAUUCCAUUACUUAUAAAAGCUCACACAUAUAAAGAAAGAGGGAUUUCUUGCCUUAGAUGUACAAUAAUAACUCUUAUUCCCACAUUAAUUCAACUAGUACUUGCCAUGAACAUCUCUUGCUCCUACAGUCCAUGAAGAACAAGAUGAAAUCCCAUAACAUGAAAAAGGAAUCAAAUUGAACUGAAAUCCCAAUCAAUUUACCAUUAAAUAUUUGAAGAAGAGCUACCCUUACCUGCAUACAUGACUAAAAAUGUUGCUUGUGCAUAGGGUUUGAUUGAGCAAAGUGAAGCUUCUUGUUGCUGGAAGUUUUCCCUCUUUUCCUUGCUUCAAAGGAAUUCCCAAAUUGAAGAACAAUUUUCAAAGUGGUGAAAAACUCUCGUCCAUGUGAAGGAACAAGUUGAAAAAGUUUUUCUUUCCCCAUAGAAUAUCCAAAAUAGUGUAUAAAUCCUCUAUGGUCAACUAUGGAUACUACACACGUUCAUAAGAAGCCUUCUAAGCUAAAUGAGGUUCUUAAUGUGCUGGAAUGUUUUUGUGUGAAGAAAAAUCUGCAACCUAGUAAAUCUCAAGUUGUAUAUUUUUC
rnacentral:lncRNA from 1 species